CAGUAGCCGCGGUAAUACCAGCAGCCCAAGUGGUGGUCGCGAUUAUUGGGCCUAAAGCGCUCGUAGCCGGGCCGGUAAGUCCCUUGCGAAAUCGGACGGCCUAACCGUUCGGCGUGCAAGGGAUACUGUCGGUCUUGAGGCCGGGAGACGUCCGAGGUACUCCGGGGGUAGCGGUGAAAUGUUCUGAUCCUCGGGGGACCACCGGUGGCGAAGGCGUUCGACGAGAACGGGCCUGACGGUGAGGGGCGAAGGCUAGGGGAGCAAACGGGAUUAGAUACCCCAGUAGUCCCUGUCUCUUAUA
rnacentral:rRNA from 1 species